rnacentral:rRNA from 1 species
UGCNNGUCGAGCGGUAACAGAAAGUAGCUUGCUACUUUGCUGACGAGCGGCGGACGGGUGAGUAAUGCUUGGGAACAUGCCUUGAGGUGGGGGACAACAGUUGGAAACGACUGCUAAUACCGCAUAAUGUCUACGGACCAAAGGGGGCUUCGGCUCUCGCCUUUAGAUUGGCCCAAGUGGGAUUAGCUAGUUGGUGAGGUAAUGGCUCACCAAGGCAACGAUCCCUAGCUGGUUUGAGAGGAUGAUCAGCCACACUGGAACUGAGACACGGUCCAGACUCCUACGGGAGGCAGCAGUGGGGAAUAUUGCACAAUGGGCGAAAGCCUGAUGCAGCCAUGCCGCGUGUGUGAAGAAGGCCUUCGGGUUGUAAAGCACUUUCAGUCAGGAGGAAAGGGUGUGAGUUAAUACCUCAUAUCUGUGACGUUACUGACAGAAGAAGCACCGGCUAACUCCGUGCCAGCAGCCGCGGUAAUACGGAGGGUGCGAGCGUUAAUCGGAAUUACUGGGCGUAAAGCGUACGCAGGCGGUUUGUUAAGCGAGAUGUGAAAGCCCCGGGCUCAACCUGGGAACUGCAUUUCGAACUGGCAAACUAGAGUGUGAUAGAGGGUGGUAGAAUUUCAGGUGUAGCGGUGAAAUGCGUAGAGAUCUGAAGGAAUACCGAUGGCGAAGGCAGCCACCUGGGUCAACACUGACGCUCAUGUACGAAAGCGUGGGGAGCAAACGGGAUUAGAUACCCCGGUAGUCCACGCCGUAAACGAUGUCUACUAGAAGCUCGGAACCUCGGUUCUGUUUUUCAAAGCUAACGCAUUAAGUAGACCGCCUGGGGAGUACGGCCGCAAGGUUAAAACUCAAAUGAAUUGACGGGGGCCCGCACAAGCGGUGGAGCAUGUGGUUUAAUUCGAUGCAACGCGAAGAACCUUACCUACACUUGACAUACAGAGAACUUACCAGAGAUGGUUUGGUGCCUUCGGGAACUCUGAUACAGNUGCUGCAUGGNUGUCGUCAGCUCGNGUNGUGAGANGUUGGGUUAAGUCCCGCAACGAGCGCAACCCUNNUCCUUAGUUGCUAGCAG